UGGCGGACGGGUGAGUAAUGUCUGGGAAACUGCCUGAUGGAGGGGGAUAACUACUGGAAACGGUAGCUAAUACCGCAUAACGUCGCAAGACCAAAGAGGGGGACCUUCGGGCCUCUUGCCAUCGGAUGUGCCCAGAUGGGAUUAGCUAGUAGGUGGGGUAACGGCUCACCUAGGCGACGAUCCCUAGCUGGUCUGAGAGGAUGACCAGCCACACUGGAACUGAGACACGGUCCAGACUCCUACGGGAGGCAGCAGUGGGGAAUAUUGCACAAUGGGCGCAAGCCUGAUGCAGCCAUGCCGCGUGUAUGAAGAAGGCCUUCGGGUUGUAAAGUACUUUCAGCGGGGAGGAAGGCGAUAAGGUUAAUAACCUUGUCGAUUGACGUUACCCGCAGAAGAAGCACCGGCUAACUCCGUGCCAGCAGCCGCGGUAAUACGGAGGGUGCAAGCGUUAAUCGGAAUUACUGGGCGUAAAGCGCACGCAGGCGGUCUGUCAAGUCGGAUGUGAAAUCCCCGGGCUCAACCUGGGAACUGCAUUCGAAACUGGCAGGCUAGAGUCUUGUAGAGGGGGGUAGAAUUCCAGGUGUAGCGGUGAAAUGCGUAGAGAUCUGGAGGAAUACCGGUGGCGAAGGCGGCCCCCUGGACAAAGACUGACGCUCAGGUG
rnacentral:rRNA from 1 species